AAUCUGCCACCGCUGCCACCGAGCCGAGGGGCGCCAGCAAGGCAUCCCCUGGGUCAAGGGGCCUCCCGUGGGCUUUCCAAACAGCCUGUGCUCAUUUCCGCGGGAGCCCUCGGGGCGCUGUGCUGUGGCUGCAUUGUCACUGUUUGUUUAUUUCUACAUCUGCUCUGUUAGAAGAUAGGCUCGCUUAGGACAGAGCCUUCUAAUCCACCCCCUGAUGAAUUCGGGCCCUCGCCUUUGGCACAAUGCCUGGCGUCAUCACAACGCGGGUGAUCAGUAAACGGCAGCGAAGGAAGCGGGGUCAGGACUGGAGAGGAGAGGGGGAGGAAGACAGACGACCGGAGAGGAACAAAAAUGGAAGAACAAGUAAGAAUGGACAGAGGAAUACCAUGUGCUGACUGACGAACGCCUGGGUUUCUGAACCAAUUGCCAUCAAGGGGAUUGGGAUUACCAUAAUUUUUGCUGAGACUAAGCCCCACCCCAGUAACCAAAGGCAGUGUUUCAAGAACCCAGCUCCAUUCAUCCUAUGAUGCCACCAUCCUCAGCAUUUGACUUCCAUGGCUCCUGGCUUAGCACAGAGGCUGGCACCUGUUAGACCUAAGAAGGAUUGGCAACUCUGGACAAAUCAGAGAAGGAGCGUUGUCAACCCUUUUCUCCUGGUGAUGAUGAUGGUGAUGGUCAAUGUCCACUCCCAAAUAUCUAUAUUGGGAAGAGGUGGUUUGUAGGUCAUGGAAUCCCAAGUUGGAAUCUCCAUCAGCAGAUAACCACUAGUGAGGACGAUUAAGAAAGGCUCUUUUAAUCUACAUUGGACACAUAGCAAGAGGAAAAAUAAACUUUUCUUAUAUUAAGCCA
rnacentral:lncRNA from 1 species